UACGAAGGGGCUAGCGUUGCUCGGAAUCACUGGGCGUAAAGGGUGCGUAGGCGGGUUUUUAAGUCAGGGGUGAAAUCCUGGAGCUCAACUCCAGAACUGCCUUUGAUACUGAGAGCUUGAGUCCGGGAGAGGUGAGUGGAACUGGCGAGUGUAGAGGUGAAAUUCGUAGAUAUUCGCAAGAACACCAGUGGCGAAGGCGGCUCACUGGCCCGGUACUGACGCUGAGGUGCGAAAGCGUGGGGAGCAAACAGGG
rnacentral:rRNA from 1 species